rnacentral:rRNA from 1 species
AACGAACGCUGGCGGCAGGCUUAACACAUGCAAGUCGAACGCCCCGCAAGGGGAGUGGCAGACGGGUGAGUAACGCGUGGGAACAUACCCUUUCCUGCGGAAUAGCUCUGGGAAACUGGAAUUAAUACCGCAUACGCCCUACGGGGGAAAGAUUUAUCGGGGAAGGAUUGGCCCGCGUUGGAUUAGCUAGUUGGUGGGGUAAAGGCCUACCAAGGCGACGAUCCAUAGCUGGUCUGAGAGGAUGAUCAGCCACAUUGGGACUGAGACACGGCCCAAACUCCUACGGGAGGCAGCAGUGGGGAAUAUUGGACAAUGGGCGCAAGCCUGAUCCAGCCAUGCCGCGUGAGUGAUGAAGGCCUUAGGGUUGUAAGGCUCUUUCACCGAUGAAGAUAAUGACGGUAGUCGGAGAAGAAGCCCCGGCUAACUUCGUGCCAGCAGCCGCGGUAAAAC